UCGGAAUUACUGGGCGUAAAGCGCACGCAGCGGUCUGUUAAGCUGGAUGUGAAAUCCCCGGGCUCAACCUGGGAACUGCAUCCAGAACUGUUUGACUAGAGUCUUGGAGAGGGGAGUGGAAUUCCAGGUGUAGCGGUGAAAUGCGUAGAGAUCUGGAGGAACAUCAAUGGCGAAGGCAACUCCCUGGCCAAAGACUGACGCUCAUGUGCGAAAGUGUGGGAGCAAACAGGAUUAGAUACCCUGGUAGUCCACGCCGUAAACGAUGUCUACUAGCCGUUGGAAGACUUGAUCUUUUAGUGGCGCAGUUAACGCAAUAAGUAGACCGCCUGGGGAGUACGGCCGCAAGGUUAAAACUCAAAUGAAUUGACGGGGGCCCGCACAAGCGGUGGAGCAUGUGGUUUAAUUCGACGCAACGCGAAGAACCUUACCUACUCUUGACAUCCUCGGAACUUUCUAGAGAUAGAUUGGUGCCUUCGGGAACCGAGAGACAGGUGCUGCAUGGCU
rnacentral:rRNA from 1 species